CUGUUGCUUGCAACAGCGAAUUGUAGUCUCGAGAAGCGUCUUCCCGGCGGAUCUUCCCUGCCUAAGUUGCUUGGAACAGCACAUCGGAGAGGGUGACAAUCCCGUUUGUGGCAGGGGAGACCGUCCAUGAUACGCUCUCCAUGAGUCGGGUUGCUUGGGAAUGCAGCCCAAAAUUGGUGGUAAACUCCAUCUAAAGCUACAUAUUGGCACGAGACCGAUAGCGAACAAGUACCGUGAGGGAAAGAUGAAAAGAACUUUGAAAAGAGAGUUAAAAAGUGCGUGAAACCGUUAGAGGGGAAGCGGAUGCAGUUAGCAAUGCUUCUGUGAGAUUCAGGCGGUCGCUCGGCCAGACGUGCAGUUGGUGGAUCUGAAUGGACUGUCGCUGCACGGCCGGGUCUUGUGCCCGUCGCACUUCUCGCUGGAGCGCGUCAACAGCUGCUGAGCGUGGCCCAGACGGUUGAGUGGAAGGUGAGCGACCAGCUCGCUGGUCGUUGUUAUAGCCACUUGUACCCAGGUUUCGUUUGGCGGAGGGGAGCGGUGCAUGCUCUCCCUUUUUGCGGAGGGCUGGCGUCCUGUUCCGUUCACGUAGCUGGCUUGGAUGCACUGCGUGCAGUACGUUCUCGCCGGUGAAAUGGCGUGCAGUCAGCGCACACGAUGCACCAUGGUUGUUGGCGGCCAUAUGGCUUUAUCCGACCCGUCUUGAAACACGGACCAAGGAGUCUAACAUGUGCGCAAGUCCUGGGGUGACCGAAACCCAGAGGCGCAAUGAAAGUGAAGGCCACUCCGAGUGGCCGAGGUGAGAUCCUUGCUCUACGCGGGUGAGGCGCAUCAUCGACCGACCUAUUCUACUCUUAGGAAGGUUUGAGUAAGAGCGUACAUGCUGGGACCCGAAAGAUGGUGAACUAUGCCUGAGUAGGGUGAAGCCAGAGGAAACUCUGGUGGAAGCUCGUAGCGAUUCUGACGUGCAAAUCGAUCGUCGAACUUGGGUAUAGGGGCGAAAGACUAAUCGAACCAUCUA
rnacentral:rRNA from 1 species